AGAGUUUGAUCCUGGCUCAGGAUGAACGCUAGCGACAGGCCUAACACAUGCAAGUCGAGGGGUAACAGGGAGCUUGCUCCGCUGACGACCGGCGCACGGGUGAGUAACGCGUAUGCAACCUGCCCAUAGGAUCGGGAUAGCCCCCCGAAAGGGGGAUUAACACCGGAUGAGGCUGGGACCCCGCAUGGGGAUUCAGUCAAAUGCGAAGCUUAUGGAUGGGCAUGCGUCCGAUUAGCUAGUUGGCGGGGCAACGGCCCACCAAGCCGACGAUGGGUAGGGGUACUGAGAGGUAGGUCCCCCACAUUGGAACUGAGACACGGUCCAAACUCCUACGGGAGGCAGCAGUGAGGAAUAUUGGUCAAUGGGCGAGAGCCUGAACCAGCCAAGUAGCGUGAAGGAAGACUGCCCUAUGGGUUGUAAACUUCUUUUGUGCGGGGGUAAAGUGGUCCACGUGUGGUCCAUUGCAAGUACCGUACGAAUAAGCAUCGGCUAACUCCGUGCCAGCAGCCGCGGUAAUACGGAGGAUGCGAGCGUUAUCCGGAUUUAUUGGGUUUAAAGGGAGCGUAGGCGGGCGAUUAAGUCAGCGGUUAAAUAGUGUGGCUCAACCAUGCCUUGCCGUUGAUACUGGUUGUCUUGAGAGUACUAGAGGUGGAUGGAAUUUAGGGUGUAGCGGUGAAAUGCUUAGAUAUCCUAAAGAACUCCGAUUGCGAAGGCAGUCCACUGGGGUACGUCUGACGCUGAAGCUCGAAAGUGCGGGUAUCAAACAGGAUUAGAUACCCUGGUAGUCCGCACAGUAAACGAUGAUUACUCGGGAUUGGCGACGGACAGGUCAGCGGCCCAGAGAAAGCAAUAAGUAAUCCACCUGGGGGGUAUGCGGGCAACGGUGAAAAUCAGAGGAAUUGAGGGGGGCGCGCACAAGAGGAGGAACGUGUGGUUUAAUUCGAUGAUACGCGAGGAACCUUACCCGGGCUGGAUCUUGGCAGGAAAGAUCCAGAGAUGGUGAUGUCCUUCGGGACCUGUCGAGAGGUGCUGCAUGGUUGUCGUCAGCUCGUGCCGUGAGGUGUCGGCUUAAGUGCCAUAACGAGCGCAACCCUUGCCGUCAGUUGCCAUCAGGUGAAGCUGGGCACUCUGUCGGGACUGCCAUCGUAAGAUGUGAGGAAGGUGGGGAUGACGUCAAAUCAGCACGGCCCUUACGUCCGGGGCUACACACGUGUUACAAUGGAGGGUACAGAGGGCCGCCACCCGGCGACGGGGCGCCAAUCCAUGAAAACCCUUCUCAGUUCGGAUCGGAGUCUGCAACCCGACUCCGUGAAGCUGGAUUCGCUAGUAAUCGCGCAUCAGCCAUGGCGCGGUGAAUACGUUCCCGGGCCUUGCACACACCGCCCGUCA
rnacentral:rRNA from 1 species